rnacentral:lncRNA from 7 species
GCCACGACCACGAGCGAAAGGAGGUCGCCGGAAGAGGGGGCGCGGAGAUGAGCGGGAGCGCGUUCAACGCGUUCAAGUCGCGGCCGCCGGCUCCGAAGCCGGCAGCCGCCGCCGCGGUGGGUGCCGCUACCACUGCGCAGUAGCCUCCGGUGAGCUCCUCAAGUCCCGUUUGAUGCAAUGACUCAAGUCAGUGCGCGUAGAUUGGCAGUCAAUAUACCGAAUUCAGAUGUUUGUUUCCGAUCCAACAUUCUAACACAAUGAAAUGUCUUAGUUUCCUGGUGGGUUAUUAUAAUUCUUCCCUUAGUUCUCCAUGUAACAAAAUGGAAGGUGCAGCUCUAACCACAUUAGAGCAACUCCAAGAGUUAGUCUAAAAUUAUUAGCCUCUCUUGGUUGUUGGUGUGAUUUGCUAGAGUAUCCAAGCAGCUUAUUUCUAUUCAGAUAGAAAACUGUAUGAUGUAGAUAUAUCAAUUAUUAUUUCUAAUUGUUUGGCACCCUGCCUUGGGAGCACUCAUCCAGUCACAGUCAGGUCAAUCCAGCCCCAGCUCCUCAGAUUUGAAUGCCUAGGAGCGCUGCCUGGCUGGGUCAGGCUUCCUAGGGCUUGAUCCAAGAAGGGCAUGCAUCAUGCUUUGAAUUUUUUUAAUUGAUAUGAGAGGAAAUUUCCUACAGUGUUUUGACAUGUUCUAUUAACUGGCAUAGAGUAAUUUACCAUCUGUUCUAUGUCAUUGCCCAUUGCUUUUCAAAAUUGGACACCUGAAUGCCAUCACUGUGAGCUUGAUGAUGCCAAGUACAGUAACACAUGGAAGCUGGAAGGGUAACAGCUUCUUCACGCGAUGGUUGAAUGAUGGGGAUUUCAUAGAGGGCAUCAUUCCUGCAACUGAUUAUGUAUAUGAGGGGAUCAGUUUUGACUGAUGGUAUAAUGGGAAACCCUGAGUUAUCGUUACUUGAUCCCUAAUAUUUUACUCGUGGUGAUCUUGUAGGGCAUCAGAAGCCUUUCAUCACAGUUCAGCGGCAUAAUAAUUGAUUUGCCUGUGUUUGGGUCUGCUGGUUUUCAGACGAUCGCUUUGGGUCUUCUUGCUCAACGAGAUCUAGCAACGGAUUUGAUCGAUCUUCUCAAGAUCGUUGUGUGGUGCAACCUGCAUUGACCCUGUAUUUUAGAUUGUUUUAUAUGAACUAGGCGCACGGUUUUCCAAUGCUUUUGUCUAGAAUCAAGUCCAAUGAUUUGGUUUAAAUUACUAAAUUCUCUGUAAAUGCUCUUCAAGAUGUGUAGGCGGUUAAGGCUUCUUGCG